GAGGAGGAGCCCGGAGAUGGGCACUGAGACAAGGGCCCAGGCCCUAUGGGGCGCAGCAGGCGCGAAACCUCUGCAAUAGGCGAAAGCUUGACAGGGUUACUCUGAGUGAUUUCCGUUAAGGAGAUCUUUUGGCACCUCUAAAAAUGGUGCAGAAUAAGGGGUGGGCAAGUCUGGUGUCAGCCGCCGCGGUAAUACCAGCACCCCGAGUGGUCGGGACGUUUAUUGGGCCUAAAGCAUCCGUAGCCGGUUCUACAAGUCUUCCGUUAAAUCCACCUGCUUAACAGAUGGGCUGCGGAAGAUACUAUAGAGCUAGGAGGCGGGAGAGGCAAGCGGUACUCGAUGGGUAGGGGUAAAAUCCGUUGGUCCAUUGAAGACCACCAGUAGCGAAGGCGGCUUGCCAGAACGCGCUCGACGGUGAGGGAUGAAAGCUGGGGGAGCAAACCGGAUUAGAUACCCGGGUAGUCCCAGCUGUAAACGAUGCAGACUCGGUGAUGAGUUGGCUUAUUGCUAACUCAGUGCCGCAGGGAAGCCGUUAAGUUUGCCGCCUGGGGAGUACGGUCGCAAGACUGAAACUUAA
rnacentral:rRNA from 1 species